rnacentral:rRNA from 1 species
AAAGAUUAAGCCAUGCAUGUAUAAGUACCCUUUUAAAACUGCGAACGGCUCAUUAGAGCUUAUAUAAAGUUUUCGGCUGCCUUUUAGGCUAUCUUCGACAAAUUGAAGCUAAUACAUGCAAACAUGUCCUUUUCGAAGGGCGCAAUAUUAGAACUACUGGCUUGCCGGCGGUUGAUUUCAAUUAUCGUUUUUAUAUCGGAGGGUGACUUCCGAUGGCCGUAAACUGUGUACGCCCUAUCACCCAGCAGGUUAAUCAUUCGCUAACCAGGGGUAUUACGGGUAACGGAGAACUAGGGUUCGUCUCCGGAGAAGAAGCCUUUGAAAGGCUACUACAUCCAAGGAAGGCAGCAGGCGCGUAACUUAUCCACUACCACAGUGAGAUAGUAACUAGUCUUAACUAUUGACUGAUCUUUUAGGUUAGUCAUGGUCCAUGAGUUGAGCCUAAAUAGCUCUUCGAGGACCAAGUGGAGGGCAAGUCUGGUGCCAGCAGCCGCGGUAAUUCCAGCU